UUUUUUUUUUUUUUUUUUGUCUUUUUGCUAUUUCUUUGGGCCGCUCCCAUGGCAUAUGGAGGUUCCCAGGCUAGGGGUCGAAUCGGAGCUGUAGCCGCCGGCCUACACCAGAGCCACAGCAACGCAGGAUCCGAGCCGUGUCUGCAACCUACACCACAGCUCACGGCAACGCCGGAUCGUUCACCCACUGAGCAAGGGACCGAACCCGCAACCUCAUGGUUCCUAGUCGGAUUCGUUAACCACUGCGCCAUGACGGGAACUCCACUAGUCAGAUUCUUAAUCUGCUGGGCCACAGUGGGAACUCCAUACUUUCUCCUUCUUGACAUGCUCUCUUCUUGGCUUCUAGAUGCCCAGUACCUCUGGUUUUCCUCCUAAGUCUCUGAUGUGUCUUCUCAUUCGUCUUUGCAGAUUUCUCCUCCUUUCACUGUCCUGUAAAUAUUGGUGACCUUUGGUUUCUGUCCUUAACCAUCAUUGCUCCUCACUCUAUACAGUUUCCCAUAGGAUUUCAUGAAUUUACAUGCUGACAGUUCCAAAUCUGUCACUCUAGAUUAGAUCACUCUCCAAAGACUCAUAGUCACAUAUCUAAUUGUCUACUAAACACCUUCACUGGGAUGUCCCACAGGCACUUCAUAAACACCAUGUCAGGAAGCAAGCUCAUAACCUCUACUCCCCACCAGCCUUCCCUCUUGCUUGGACCCAUGGGUUCCCCGUAUCAGUUAACCCUUACCUCACUGACCCACACUGGAGUGUGUCAUCAGGAGCAAAUAUUCUUUGGGUUUUACCACUCCAUGUGCUCCUGCCAAAGGCCCGUAGCUGUGUCUUUUUUUUUUUUUUUUUUCUUUUCUUUUUCCUGAGGGCCUUUUAAGAAGCAUCAGAAAGCUGCUCUGCCUGUAAGAACAGGGUGGAAAGGCUGGGGAAUUAAACCCAUCAGCCAAUGACUCAUGGCAGUUGGUUUAUUAAUUCCCCAGCUCCUCAACUUCUUGGGUGGGAGAACUCUGGGACAUUUGUUUUUUACCGUUUCCCAGGAUUUCUCCAUGACAUUAAUAGCAUAGUUGGCUUGAUAAAACACUCUUUCUUGGCUCCAUUUCCUCCUCCAUAUCACUUCCUCAUUUUCCUACCCAUAUUCCCUGUUCUUCUCAAAUAAACUACUUGCAUUUGAACCUUUUUCUUGAGGUCUAAUGCUGGGGAAAACCAGAGUAAGAUAACAUCCUUCUUUCCAAUCCCUUCCUUCCUUCUUCUAGUCAGUUACCAAAUUCUGUUACUUCUACUUCAUAAUCAUCUUGAGAAUUUAGCCACUUCUCUCCAGCCCUGCUGCCAUUUCCCUGGUACUCAACACCAUCCUCUCUAGCUGGGAUGCCCUUUGGCAUUGUCCACUUCAGUGCUUCCUCUUCCCCUCACGCAGUGAUCUUUAUGCAAAUUUGGAGUUCCCUGGCUAGGGGUCUAAUCGGAGCUGUAGCUGCCAGCCUACACCAGAGCCACAACAACACAGGAUCCAAGCCAUGUCUGCAACCUACACCACAGCUCAUGGCAACAUCAGAUCCUUAACCCACUAAGCAAGGCCAGGGAUCGAACCUGCAACCUCAUGGUUCCUAGUCGGAUUCGUUAACCACUGAGCCACAAUGGGAACUCCGAUCUUUUCCUUUUUUUAUUCUUUGUUGUUGUUGCACUCCUAGAUUUUAACUCAAUAUAGGGCACAGAGUAGAAACUCAGUAAGUAUUUGCCAAAUAAAUGAAUACCUAAUGGGUCAUUCCUGUCUUGCCCAUCUUGGCUUGUUUCUGCAGGACUGGAGUCAGAAAGCUGGUGAACACAUUUGCAGUUUUUAUCUGUGUUUACCUUUAUGUUCUAUUUUAAUUUUUUUCGUAAGUAUAAUGACUAGUGAUCUCAUUAGAUGAGUUCAUCAGACAAUGGUGAGUCAGGCACAGGACUGAUUUUGUUUAAACCUUACUAGGUGAUCAUUCCUGGUACUUGGUAUAAAAAGGGAUAUGGACAAGACAGUAGCUUGGAACUUCCAGUGUUGUCUUUUUGUUUUGCUUUGUUUCUCUUUUUAGGGCCACACCUCUGGCAUAUGGAGGUUCCCAGGCUAGGGGUCCAUUCAGAGCUAUAGCCACAGCAACGCGGGAUCCGAGCCAUGUCUGUGAUGUACACCAGAGCUCACGGCAACGCCAGAUCCUUAACCCACUGAGCGAGGCCAGGGAUGGAACCCACGUCCUCAUGGAUGCCAGUUGGGUUUGCUAACUUCUCAGCUAUGACGGGAACUCCUCAAAUUCUUUACAUCUAAGGACUUUCCUUAAUUCUUUACAUGUGUUCUUUCAUAAGAAUUCAUUUCAUAAAGAAUGUUUCAGAUUUAUUCUUUCAAAGAAUAAAUUCUCUCAAGAGGAGAAAUGCAUAUCAGUUCAUUAAUGACUGUUAUCAUUGGAAUUCUGUUUAUCGAAUUUCUGUUAAGAUAGGCAUGUUUGUAUUUAAAAAGAAAAAAAGCUACCAUAUAAUUCCUUUUUUUUUUUUUCUUUUUUUCUUUUUAGGGCCUCUCCAGUGGCAUAUAGAGGUUCCCAGGCUAGGAGUCUGAUCCGAGCUGUUGCUGCUGGCCUACACCAGAGCCACAGCAACACCAGAUCCGUGCCGCAUCUGUGACCUACACCACAGCUCACAGCAAUGCCAGAUCUGCAAACAACAACUUUGCAGGUGCAGCUGCAAAACGAAAAAGAAAAAAAAAAGAAUAAACUAGUAUCUACCUCAUUGACUUACCGUGAAAGAAGUGAGACAAUAGAAAUGGGAAAAUGUCUAUUCAAGUCCUUUGCCCCUUUUUUAAACUGGGUUAUUUUCGUUUUUGCUAUUGAGCUGUAUAGGUUCCUAAUAUAUUUUGGGUAUUAGCUCCUUCCUAUCGGUCCUCUUGUGGUCCAGUGGGUUAAAGAUUUGGUUUUGUCACUGCAGUGGCUCAGGUCACUGCUGUGGCAUGGGUUCAAUCCCUGAUCCUGGGAAUUUCCACAUGCCAUGGGCAUAGCCAAAAAAAAAAAAAAAAAAA
rnacentral:lncRNA from 1 species